rnacentral:rRNA from 1 species
CACGUAGGGCGCAAGCGUUGUCCGGAAUUAUUGGGCGUAAAGAGCUCGUAGGCGGUCUGUUACGUCUGCUGUGAAAACCCGGGGCUUAACCCUGGGCUUGCAGUGGAUACGGGCAGGCUGGAGUUCGGUAGGGGAGACUGGAAUUCCUGGUGUAGCGGUGAAAUGCGCAGAUAUCAGGAGGAACACCGGUGGCGAAGGCGGAUCUCUGGGCCGUAACUGACGCUGAGGAGCGAAAGCAUGGGGAGCGAACAGG